rnacentral:rRNA from 1 species
UACGAGUGCCCCGAGCGUUAUCCGGAAUUAUUGGGCGUAAAGGGUGUGUAGGUGGUUUUGUUAGUCUUUUGUUAAAGCUCCCGGCUUAACCGGGAAAGUGCAGAGGAAACGGCAAGACUAGAGGAUGUGAGAGGUUUGCGGAACUCAUGGUGUAGGGGUGAAAUCCGUUGAUAUCAUGGGGAACACCAAAAGCGAAGGCAGCAAACUGGCGCAUUCCUGACACUGAAACACGAAAGCGUGGGUAGCGAAUGGG